UAAUACGGAGGGUGCAAGCGUUAUCCGGAAUCACUGGGCGUAAAGGGCGCGUAGGCGGUCUGUUAAGUCCGAUGUUAAAUCCCGGGGCUCAACCCCGGAUAAGCGUUGGAUACUGGCAGGCUAGACGGUUGGAGAGGCGAGUGGAAUUACCAGUGUAGCGGUGGAAUGCGUAGAUACUGGUAGGAACACCCAUUGCGAAGGCAGCUCGCUGGACAACACGUGACGCUGAGGCGCGAAAGUGUGGGGAGCAAACCGGAUUAGAUACCCGGGUAGUCCACACCCUAAACGAUGCAUACUUGGUGUCGGCCCGUUGGGGUCGGCGCCGGAGCUAACGCGUUAAGUAUGCCGCCUGGGAAGUACGGCCGCAAGGUUGAAACUCAAAUGAAUUGACGG
rnacentral:rRNA from 1 species